rnacentral:rRNA from 1 species
CCUACGGGUGGCAGCAGUGAGGAAUAUUGGUCAAUGGGCGAGAGCCUGAACCAGCCAAGUCGCGUGAGGGAGUACUGCCCUAUGGGUUGUAAACCUCUUUUGUCGGGGAGCAAAAGCCGGACGUGUUCGGCUGUGAGAGUACCCGAAGAAAAAGCAUCGGCAAACUCCGUGCCAGCAGCCGCGGUAAUACGGAGGAUGCGAGCGUUAUCCGGAUUUAUUGGGUUUAAAGGGUGCGCAGGCGGAUUUUUAAGUCAGCGGUAAAAUCGUGGGGCGCAACCCCAUCCAGCCGUUGAAACUGGGGAUCUAGAGUGUGCGGGAGGUAUGCGGAAUGCGUGGUGUAGCGGUGAAAUGCAUAGAUAUCACGCAGAACCCCGAUUGCGAAGGCAGCAUACCGGUGCACAACUGACGCUCAGGCACGAAAGCGUGGGUAUCGAACAGGAUUAGAUACCCCUGUAGUC